UGCCGCGUGCAGGAUGACGGCCCUAUGGGUUGUAAACUGCUUUUAUACGGGAAGAAAUGCGCCCACGUGUGGGCGUCUGACGGUACCGUAAGAAUAAGGACCGGCUAACUCCGUGCCAGCAGCCGCGGUAAUACGGAGGGUCCGAGCGUUAUCCGGAAUCAUUGGGUUUAAAGGGUCCGUAGGCGGGCCUGUAAGUCAGGGGUGAAAGUUUGUGGCUCAACCAUAAAAUUGCCUUUGAUACUGCAGGUCUUGAGUCAUGGUGGGGUCGCCGGAACAUGUGGUGUAGCGGUGAAAUGCAUAGAUAUCACAUAGAACACCGAUCGCGAAGGCAGGUGGCCAACCAUGUACUGACGCUGAUGGACGAAAGCGUGGGUAGCGAACGGGAUUAGAUACCCCGGUAGUCCACGCCGUAAACGAUGGAUACUAGCUGUGGGGACUUCGGUCUCCGUGGCCAAGCGAAAGUGAUAAGUAUCCCACCUGGGGAGUACGUUCGCAAGAAUGAAACUCAAAGGAAUUGACGGGGGCCCGCACAAGCGGUGGAGCAUGUGGUUUAAUUCGAUGAUACGCGAGGAACCUUACCAGGGCUUAAAUGCAGGCUGCAUGGGGUAGAGAUACCCCUUUCUUCGGACCGCCUGCAAGGUGCUGCAUGGUUGUCGUCAGCUCGUGCCGUGAGGUGUCAGGUUAAGUCCUAUAACGAGCGCAACCCCUACCGUUAGUUGCCAGCAUGUCAAGA
rnacentral:rRNA from 1 species